UACAGAGGGUGCAAGCGUUAAUCGGAAUUACUGGGCGUAAAGGGCGCGUAGGUGGUCAUGUAAGUGAGAUGUAAAAUCCCUGGGCUUAACCUAGGAAGGUCAUUUCAUACUGUGUGACUAGAGUAUUGUAGAGGGUAGUGGAAUUUCCGGUGUAGCGGUGAAAUGCGUAGAGAUCGGAAGGAACACCAGUGGCGAAGGCGGCUACCUGGACAGAUACUGACACUGAAGCGCGAGAGCGUGGGGAGCAAACAGG
rnacentral:rRNA from 1 species